rnacentral:rRNA from 1 species
UGGGGAAUAUUGCACAAUGGGCGAAAGCCUGAUGCAGCAACGCCGCGUGAGUGAUGAAGGUCUUCGGAUUGUAAAGCUCUGUCUUUUGGGACGAUAAUGACGGUACCAAAGGAGGAAGCCACGGCUAACUACGUGCCAGCAGCCGCGGUAAUACGUAGGUGGCGAGCGUUGUCCGGAUUUACUGGGCGUAAAGGGUGCGUAGGCGGAUGUUUAAGUGAGAUGUGAAAUACCCGGGCUUAACUUGGGUGCUGCAUUUCAAACUGGAUAUCUAGAGCGCAGGAGAGGAGAAUGGAAUUCCUAGUGUAGCGGUGAAAUGCGUAGAGAUUAGGAAGAACACCAGUGGCGAAGGCGAUUCUCUGGACUGUAACUGACGCUGAGGCACGAAAGCGUGGGUAGCAAACAGGAUUAGAUACCCUGGUAGUCCACGCCGUAAACGAUGAGUACUAGGUGUAGGAGGUAUCGACCCCUUCUGUGCCGCAGUAAACACAUUAAGUACUCCGCCUGGGAAGUACGAUCGCAAGAUU